rnacentral:rRNA from 1 species
UACGGAGGGUGCAAGCGUUAAUCGGAAUUACUGGGCGUAAAGCGUGCGCAGGCGGUUUGUUAAGUCCGUUGUGAAAGCCCCGAGCUCAACUUGGGAAUUGCAGUGGAUACUGGCAGGCUGGAGUACGGUAGAGGAAGGUGGAAUUCCCGGUGUAGCAGUGAAAUGCGUAGAUAUCGGGAGGAACACCAGUGGCGAAGGCGGCCUUCUGGACCAGUACUGACGCUGAGGAGCGAAAGCCAGAGGAGCAAACGGG